GGUUACGCCGAACUGCGACAUCGUGCCAGUGCCAGGGCUCCGCUCGUGCGCUGUGCCGCGCAUGCGCAGCGUCACUCCUCCAUGUAGGUUUGACGGUUGACCCUCGGCGGUGUGCGUCUGCAAGUAUCUGAAAGGAGGUGACCGCAAUAUAUUAUUGCUACUGGUUGACAUAAAGAGGGCAGUGAAAUCUCUUGAUCAACGACUGCAAGUAGUGGAACGUUUCAUCGAAAGAAUUUCCCAGGAGAAAGGAAUUGCAAAGCCAAACUUUCCCGAACUCCCAAUUCAGACAUGCAGUGAGCUACUUGAUCUUGAAACGUCACUGUCAGAUGAGCAAGCCAAAGUAUACCUGAUUGGAAAGCUCUCUCGUCUGGGCGGAAACUCGCUGACUGAAAGUGCCCGAGUCCUGGUGAAAAAUCUUAUACAGAGCAGCGUUGCGUUUCAAUACAGCUUAAGGGGGGCACAACAGAAAAAAAAAAAAAGACUUUCCCGCAUUGCGAGUCUACUCCUGCAUUACUGAGGUACUACUGAAACGACACAACAUCGUGGAAAGGAUUGGGAGGUACUUAGCCGGCGCACCUGACCGGGAGGGAGGACGAGAAGCCCGCAAAAGAAAGACACAAGCCAAACCAGCAGCGAAUAGACUUUCAUCCUGUGAUAACUUGUAAUCAAUAAAGUGUGUAGAACAUGCAG